GGGGCUGUGUGAUCACAGACAAAGUCUCGGUACUAUUUAGUAGCAGCGCAUGCCUCUUGUAAUAACCCCGUAAGAACUGUUGUUCAGGACUGCUAACUUGUGCUUCCUACCAAUUCGGCUACUGUAAUAACCGUUGUUCGAGCCCACACGCAACAUUUUUGCUCUCAUUAAUGAAACGCUUAAAUCGGGGACAUUUUCGGGGACAGCUUUUGCCGGGGACAGGUCAUCCAAUACGGGGACUGUCCCCGGAAAUCGGGGACGUCUGGUCACCUUAUGCUAAAGGCCAAAAACGGCAGGUAUUAAACCAUAUAUUUUAGACCCUGAGUCCGAAGAGGAGGUGGAAGUUGAGGAAGAAGCCGGAGAUCUCCAGCGGUGUUUUCUCAUUCAUUCUGCCCGGCUUUAAGUUCAUUUUCCCGGCAGUGAACCGAAGGAAACACCGAUCGUUUGGAAGAGACCCAUAGCGGAUACAGCGGUAGCUGGGUCUCGCUCUGGCUGUGACUGAGUACGAGAACGAGAGAGUGGGCGUGGCUCAACGUCAACGCAACGUAACACCGACCUGCUUUUUCAAUUGGCCUGGUUUACUCGUUCCUUUUUUUUAAACUUUUACAGAAUGCAAACGACGUAACGGUUUGUUUUCACAUUUACAACAUAAGACGAACAUAAUAUGGACCUUAUCUGACACAAAAAAACCCCAAAAAUUACAUUUUUUAUGGCAGGUCCCCUUUAAAGAACAUACACCGCAGUCAGUGUUCUGGUUUUAGACAAAGAGUUUGUGUUUACAGGGCCAGCUCAAGGACAAGUGUUUUUAUUUUUAUUCGACUCAGUGUCAUUUAUUUUCAAACAUAAAGACAAUUUAGCAUUAGCAAAUAUGAACGUUGAGUUUAAUUGUCAGAAUAAUGUGUAUAAAUGUAUAUAGAAGUUAUCAUCGUACUCAAAUUCUUAUGUAAGAGUUUGCUACCCCUUGUUCCACGUCAUAUAAGAGUGUUUUCUAACUUCUCUCUCCAAUAGCUUUAUUACACAGCACAUGAGCGUUUCUUAACUUGUAUCCUCCACUGUGAAUCGUGGGAAGUUGAGCUAACCUGAACUCAGCGUUGACAGACGAAUGACGAAAAGUCAGCGAGAGAUUUUUCAGACUGGUGUUUAAUGAUAUUUUCCUGCUCCGUCUAUGAAGCUCGAUUUACUCUGUAUGAUAUUAAAAAUUAAAAAGCACCAUUAUGAUUUUUUUUUUUAACCCGUCCUUGAGGUUUUAUUGUCUUUCAUUUUUAAUCUGCCGUGUCUAUUCUGGUGCCAGUAGAUGCUCUCAGCUUUAUUAGGACACAACAGUCCCUUUAAAUUUGAUCAUGUAACUCAUUUUUACCCAAAUUAGUGGGCGGAGAGGGUCCGCUCAUACUGUUUUACUCAUUUAUUUCGGUCUCUGAAUCUGUCUUUGGUUGAAAUGAGCCAAAAAAUUUCUGUUUCUGUGGAAUAAGAGGCUCCAGAAAACAUUCCUCCGUUUGUAAAGUGUGUUUGAACAGCUCUCAGUCUUUGUGUUUCCUCUCUCUUUGUUUUGUCGCUCGCCCUCCUUCAUCCCUCAUUUGUGUAUCAUGUCCUUCCUUGUCUGUCUCUUAUUUACUAUCUGUCUGUCCUGUCUCAGUCCUCCCGUCUGCUCCUCUCUCUCCAUCUGUCUGUUUUGAAGAUCUGCGCUCACUCUUGAUUUACCGAGGUACACUAAGUGCAUACAAAGCCCUCCAAGAUUAGUGAUGCUAUCACACUCUUCUGCAUCGCUUCAGGGCAGAAAUCCCUCCUUAGGUUCAGUGGAGGACGGAUCCUUAAAAGAGGACCUCUUCAAUUUACAGCCUGACAAACACGCCAAUGCCACAAAGACAGGAGCUUUCUGAUGUGAGAAAUUAAACAGAGAAAUAUCGGCUGAUAAACAGCUGCUGAAAAGCUGUUUCUCCCUCACUCUGACCCUCACUUACAAAUCGGUCUUAUCUCAUACCACCGAGGAGCCGUGUUUUAAAAAUGCACCUCUAAUUAAACUUUAAACUCAGCUGCAUCUCAAACCCUUUAUUUGUCCAAUAGAGAUCAGGAGUAUCUAUAUUUAUAUAUAUUCUAUUCUAUUUAAAUCACCCAAGCUGAUAUAGAAGAGCCGCCAUGACUGUAUCUGUUCACGUCUUCUCUUUCGGUUUUAGUCUCGACCGUCUUUCCCAGCAUAGCUCCACCUACCUUCACCUCCAUGUCGGUGUAAUUAACCAGGAUAAUUCACACCUGAGGGGUGUGAUGAGUUUUUACCCUUUCGCUUAUUACAAAACAGUCGACCUACUUUAAUAACUCUGGACCGUGAUCAAGCUCGGUACUUUGACAUGUCAGAGUUUGAAGGUAAACCAAACCACCACGGCUCAAACCUUUGAAAUGUUUCAGCUCCGGGGCGUUUCACAGACGGGCUUGUUAUCGCACCUUAAUGGUGUAAUGAUGCUUAUGAAAUCAAGCUGUCAUUAAAGUUAGAAGAAGCAUCUGUGCUUGUUUGAAAUAAAAUACUGUAAAUAUAUCGGAGGUCAAUAUAUCAGUGAAAGAGACGUCAUUUAAGAGGUUAUAGAAGAGUUGCAGUUACCUCAGACUGAAAGGCCAUUUUCUCGACUACACUACGUUAAAACAGGAAUGACUCUGUAGUGGAAGUUUCUGCAUGAGCUCUGAAUCUGCUGUCUGUAAACAUUCUCCAGUUUAGUAAGAGAAAGGCCAAACAUGAUCUGGGUAUGUCGUAGACUUUUCAGGACCUGAACCUGGUUAAAUCGGGAGUUUCACCGCAUCCGGAUUGGCAAUUCCUACCGGAUCCGUUUGUGAGAUGAAUUUCAUGGCGGAUUACGGACAGCAGGAAUUGCGAGAAUUCACAAGAACCGGCGGAUUCAUGUGCAAUGAUGCGAUAACAAGUUGUCUUUAGACACAGAGGCUAACCAUAUAAGCAGUAGAUUGCGUCCUUCCAGAGGAGGAAAUCUACUUCUCGACUUCUAGAAUCAGCAUCUCCUCAUCCAUGGUGUCAUCGGGGUGAAAUGACCUCUGAAAACUUUCCGCCGUUUGCAUGGUGUGAAAUACGAUCCGCCUGAAACACGUAGUCUUUUAUUUUGAAAAGUCCGGAGUCCGGCGAUCCGCAGAGGAACGGAAAGAAGUCGGUGUAAAUUGACACGUUAACUUGAAUGGUUACAAUCAGCUACGAUCGGAGGAUACGACCUUUUCGUAGCCGUUCUGGAUGCCGUGGAAAUUGGGGGUUAAAUGUACUCAGGUGAUGUGGGGAACGUCCUUGUGGUCUGAGAAAUCUAGAUUUGACAUUCUUUUAGAAACCAUGGAGCUGCUCUACUGACUCUGAGGUAGACCGGGACUCACUGGAGACCCCAUUUUUGAGACCUGAAAAGCACUUCUGGGGAGAGGGAAGUCUGGUCUCUUCAGUUCCCAAAGGUUUUUACAGAGAGCCGCUAAAAGACGAGGUGAUGCAACACAACAGCAAACAAGCUGCUGCCCUGACUGUUUUGAAGUUCGGCGCUGGUAUCAGAUCUAAAUUUCAGAUUCAACAUUCGGGUUUUAAUGACAUGAAAUUCUAUGUUUUACAAAUAUCCAAAUCAGCACCUUAACCUUUUAGGAUUGGGACUUCGUAUUUCUCUGGAAGUCUCUUUGGACAGUCACCUCCAGGAUAGUUAUCGGGGGUGUUAGAUUAAUGGUGAAAUUCUCUAAUGUUUACUGACCCAUAUCAGUAAAUCUCUGCAGUCACAGCCUCACUUUGAGUAUGUGACCCUGUCAGAACAACACAGCACAAUCCUGCUGCUUCACUUAAUUUUUGAACCCAUAAAAGCUCUGUGUUCACUCCAUCAAUCCCUGGCCGGCUCCCAAAAUCAGAGCGUAUUAAAGGUGGCACCGUGUGCCCGUGUUGCCACAUACAAUCGGAGGCCGUCUGAAAUGUUUAUUGAAUUAUAUAUCUUCGAGGCUGCGUUUAGAGUCGCCUUUGUCACCGCGAGCGAUCGAUACGCUGGCGCUGCCGAGGCUAACAAGGGGCUUCGUCUGCUGUGGCCAGCACUCCCGCCUGUCACCAGAUGGUAUUUAUUACGUGCUUUGUUUUAACAUCCAUUCAGUAUGAGUGGAAAUCAAUUUUUCAUUUGGACCUAAUUGUCUCUGUGCACUGGCAGCUCAAGGCUCCACAGCCCAGAGCCUCAGCUCCCCUCGGUGUACCAGUGGAUGUGGGCCCUCCCCUCCUCCGUGGAGCUGUAUUUUAUACCUAAUUACAUAUGUCUGAGGCCCACAGGCGGGGACUACGAGGCUUUGGGGAAUAGCUCCUGUGAAGACGAGCUGAGGGGACUCUCUGUUGGUAUCUCUCUGGUAGGGAUUUAGUCAUGCUUACAGUAACUGUGUGCUACUUGGAAAGGGACUCGGUGACCCAGACUGGCUCUGCCUCUGGUGUUUUGCAUCGCUGCUGCUGAACGCCGGGAGAUGUGAGGAGCUGCCGAGCUUAAUGGCUAUGAUGAAACUUCAUGUGUUGCCGAGUUAGAUUAAGGACGAGACACAGAGGACUUUAUCUCACUGGUGACCCAGAAUGAGUUACAGCAGCAGCUCCCGGGUUAUGAUGCGGCUCCGAUUUUGGACCAGAACUUUUCAGUGUUUGUUGACAUGAUUCCUGCUGAGUUAGUUCAUAUUUUACAGUUCUGUUUGGAUAAAUCAAACACAAUUUUAAAAAACAUGGGAAUCCUUUUUCAUACUUUUGCAUCGUGACACAUCUUCGUCAAUAAUCCGACACGUUCAUUUCAUCAUUAACGUCCUUGACUGACACGCUCGGUACUUGACUUUCAGCCCUUUCCUUCACUAUAAUGACAGUUUUAUUUCCUGCUGACCAAAUGAGUCAAUCACGCCUUUAAUUCAUGACCAAAGGACUCUGGCCGUGUUCAUGUUGUCAAGAAUUUGACAAGGCACACUAAAGGCACACUAAAGGUCACACAAUUUAAAAUACAGAAAAUUUUGAGAAAUAAAACCAAAGGUUAAAAAAGGUUAAAAAAGACAAAAUAUGAAAAGACAAUCAAAGAAGAGUUCACAGGUGAAGUUUGGGGAGUCAGUUCCAGAGGAGAAGACUCUGUCCCCCUAAGUUCGGUGCUUUGUCCGAGGGCGUUGGUUUUUACAGUCGAGUCUGUCACAGCCGACACAGAGUAGACACAUUGUGAUUUUUUUAUUCCUCAAACUGAGGUGGUUCGAUCUUUUUUUUUAUGCUCUGUUGUGAGAAUAAAACUCAAACCGAACCUUUACGAGUCUCUCCGUUUUCACCAUCAUGUAAAGUAUCUGAUCCUCGCUUCAUUCAGUGUUUAUCAGGGCAUGAUUAUCGCUCACUGAGGGUGAAAAUCUGCGCAAUAGUGUCAUGGUUCGUGGUCUCCGGAGUCCCGCUGCGCUCAAGUCUUUGAGCUUUGACAUGAAAUAAAGUAUAACUGUCAAACAAGCUUUAAAUAAAGUGUUUUUUAACUCUCAGCUGUGUGAUAAUCAGCUGGUGUCACAUGAAAAUCCAAAAAGGUCAUUUCAGAGUAAAUUUAGUGGAAGUUUCUGCUCGGCUUGUUGGUGUUUUUGUUGUUUCUUGCGGACAGUGGAGCACGUGGGAUGUGGGUCUGUGGU